rnacentral:lncRNA from 1 species
AAAGAAAUGACAUGGUAGAAAUUCAUUCACACAUAUCAGGGUCAUAGUGAGAGGAUUGAUCUGCUUGAUUCGCUCCUGAUGGUCGGUGGAUUGUUUCUGGUAGGGCUAAGAGUUCUGUGAAGGUAAGAUUUUGAUCCAACCUAUUAAGCAGUACCACACAAAUUAUAGGAGAAUCUGUUGUUUGGUCCAACCUAUAAAGGUGCCAUAUAUGCUCAAUUGCUCACAACAGUGCUAAUAUUAACAAGGUGCAUAAACUCACGCUCUAGCGGAAGAUAUCCUUUAUAUUUUUGGGGUCACUGAUACCUGUUCAAAAACAUAAGAUGUGUUCCUAGAUAACAUCUUUCCUCCAAAAUAAUUUAUAUAUCAUCUAGACUUGGUUAGUUGUAACUUUUGCUUUCUGUUCUUUCCACAAGCUUCUGUAGGUUCAAAUGACAAUUGUUAAAUUUUGGGACCUUAAGACUUUUUAGUUGAUUGCAUCCUCCAGACCGGGAGGUAUAAUAGCAUAUCCUAAUUGUCUAAUUGAUGAUUCAGAAAGCUCUGGCUCUACUCAUGUAUAUCAGUUUAUAUUCAGAUUGUGAAGUACUCCUUCUAUAAAGAAAUAUAAGAGAGUUUAGUUCUAUAAAACAUAUUUAUAUGCAGUUAUCCAACAAAUUUAUGUCCUAAAAUCUUACAACUUCUCUUAAGCUGUUUUUUUACGGGAAAACUAUAUUUGAUCAUAACCUUGGCUUAAAUGCAAUUUAAUUUCAACCUCAAAUUUGGUGAUUUUUUAAUGGGCACAACUGUGUCGGUAGAGGACUAGAGGUUGACAGUUAUGAAUUUUGUGAUAAUCUUCGGUUAUACUGUUAUAUGUAGCACUUUCCAGGUUAUAUGGUUCACAUUCUCUGAGCCAAUUCACAAUGACCAUUCCAGAUUUGGGCCUUGCGUUUUUAAAUUAUUUUGUAACAUUUUGGUUGAUCUUUGAUGCUGCUCCUUAAUUUUUUACAUUGACUGGUGUAGAACUAAAUGAGUGUUGACAUUCAAGGGAAGCCCCAAGCUUUUAAACAGUAUAUGAAUGUUGUUAGCUCGGUCCUUCACAAAUAAGUCCCUUGAUGUGUGUCAUCUCUCAUUGCGUAUAACAUCUGGUCUUUCUAUUUUUCAUUGAUUUUUCUUCUCCCGGUGCACUGAAUCUGCAAGGGCGUGUAGACGGCAGGAUGAGCAGCAGCAUGCCGGUGGUAAGACAGGGCGUGUAGACGGCAGGAUGAGCAGCAGCAUGCCAGUGGUAAGACAGGGCGUGUUGGCGUAUGCGAAGCAGCCAUGCAUGAAUCUUGGCGGCAGAUGCUUGCUGGCCGUAGUGGCAGCACCAAUUCAAGCCGGGAGGCGGGAAGCUGGAGUAGCAGGAACGAUUGGUCGUCCAUUAGGCAUGAACCCAACUCCACUGUACUCCCUUUUCUUUCCGUAACCAAUUCUUUGGAGCAGACAUGUGGGUACAGUUACAUAGCCUGAAGAUUGUUUGCUUUUUUUGGUUAGUUUAGAUUUAGAUUUCUCAGAUAUUCACUAUUUGAUCAAUCGAUCCAUGUAGAUCUCAUUGACAUGGUUUGUGGAAUGUACCUUUCAGCAUUUACCCUGAUUAGUUAAAUCCCUAGCUGGUGAUAAGAGGAAGAGGAUGAUCAGGAAAGCAUGGAGUUAAGUGAAUCAGUACAGGAAGAAGGCCGUUCAGAAAAAAAAUAGUAGAGGAAGAAAGGGAGGAGCAGCAGUCAAGGUUGGGCUUGGUGGCCUCGACGCCUAUGACCUCCUCUAUGCCAAGCCUCGCAUCACCCAGUUAUUAUGUUAUCUACUCCCUCCGUUCCGAAU